AAUUAGCCCUUUUCAGGAGACAUGUGAUGCCGGCACAGAGCCUGUCAGCGGGGAUAGUUAUCGUAACAACUGAGAGACGUCUGUGCCGCUGCCAUAUUGCAGACAGACACGCUCCGGAUCACAGACAGACAUGUUAUCCGUCUAAUGUACAAACCCCAAAAAACGAUGCGUUUUCUGGCUGGGAUCUGAUAUUGUGCCUACAACACAUCCACUGACAUCAGAGCAAUAGUUCCUCAGUAUUGGCUGAGGCUGACUGCAAGGUCUCUUCUCUUCUAACAGACAUGCUAUCCCUCCAAUGUCCAAGCCCAGAAAGACAAGGCAGUUCCUUGCUGGCCAGAUAUCACAGCUAUAGUUCCUCAUGGAUGAAGCUGACUGCAAGGUAUUAUAGGCAAGCCUGUCUGGAUGGGGACCUAUGAUAGUCUUCCUUCAUCUUAUCUUUUCUGUAUAUUUAUUUAGACUUUUUUAUUUGUUAUUAUUUUAUGUAUAUAUUAGUAGUUUUAUGUCUUAUGUGUAUGAUUUUUGUGUAACGGUAAUUGUCUUUGUAUGUUUGACUGCAUGCUGCUGUAACAACUAUAACAAUUUCCCUAUUUUAGGGAUUAAUAAAGUUUAUCUUAUGUUAUUUUGA